rnacentral:lncRNA from 1 species
AGCAAUAUUCAAAUACUCCUGUAAAUAAGUAUUACAUCAUGCCAAGACUCAUCUUAGUUUGCUAUAAGGUUUAUUACUCUGUUGAUACCUUGAUGUCUUCCUAUUUUGGAGCCAGGAAGCAUGUUCUGCCCUUCAGUUUUCCUUACUUUUAGUUUGAAGCUAAACCAUAUCUCAAUGCAGAAAACAAAUUAAACUAAGCUAACUUUCUACAGAACUUCAUUUAAGAGAAACUAUAAUCCUUAAAAGAUAAAAUGAGAAAAACCAAAUAGAAAGAUAUGAAGUUCUGAAGAAGAGUCAUGGAAGCAUAAAUAACAAGCCAUAGCAUCAAACAGCAAGAGUUCUUUUUUCACUAAAUAGCCUGUUCCUUCACCGGUACCCAUAUAAACCUACAAAGUGCUCCACAAAGCAUGCAACUGGAGUAAAGGUUAAAUAUUUGAAAGACAAAACACCAUUUUGAUGGGGCAUUACUAUGACAAUAAAUGAGUAUGGAUGAAUUCUCCUCAACCAUCAAAUUAUUCUCUUCCAUUCUCAAAAAAGCCCAACCAUCAAAUUAUUCUCUUCCAAAACACCAUUUUGAUGGGGCAUUACUAUGACAAUAAAUGAGUAUGGGUGAAUUCUCCUCAACCAUCAAAUUAUUCUCUUCCAUUCUCGAACAAGAUUUUUUAUUAUUUGACAGUGAACCAACUUAUCUGAGAUUUAAUGAACCAUAUCAGACUGACAUACAACCCUUGCACAAUAACUUUUUCAAGUAGCAUCAUACUUACACAGCAGUUAGCUUGAUUAUUACCUUGAGCCCCAAAGGAGAGAGAGAGAGAGAGAGCAUUCCAUAAUAAUCUCUUAAAAUUGGUCAAACUUGAUAGAAUUUUUGCACCACAAAUUGUCACCACAUGUUUGCAUAUCAAGAGAUGGAAUCCAGAGAGAGAGAGAGAGAGAGAGAGAGAGCAUUCCAUAAUAAUCUCUUAAAAUUGGUCAACUUGAUAGAAUUUUUNNNNNNNCAUGUUUGCAUAUCAAGAGAUGGAAUCCAUUUGUCCACCUCAUAAUCAGGUUUCAAUCCUCAGAAGAGAGAGAGAGAGAGAGAGAGAGAGAGAGAGAGCAUUCCAUAGACUCUGCUCAAAUAUCUAAGCAAUAUUCUUGAAUAAUCUCUGAAAAUUGGUCAACUUGAUAGAAUUUUUCCACCACAAAUUGUCACCACAUGUUUGCAUAUCAAGAGAUGGAAUCCAUUUAUCCACCUCAUAAUCAGGUUUCAAUCCUCAGACAGUCAGAUUCCAUUUUCUCAAUCCCAAUUCAACCUGUCUCUCAUAAGACCUUGCUCUUAUUACCUCAUUUCAAAGAUCUGAUUUUUCUAUUAAAUAACAAACAAGCAAAUCAUCUGUACCACAAAAGAUAAGUGAAAUAGCUAAAUACAAAGACAAAGUGGAAAAGAUCAACUGCAACAAAGAAAACACAAUCUCAUCAUAUUACAAGGUGCCGUAAGGAUGAGGAGGAAGAGCUAAUUGCAUCAAGUUGACUAUGAGAGAAGGUAAGAUGACAUAUAAUUCCACUUUGUCUAAUAGUAAUAUAAUUCCACUUUCUUUACACUCGCUUUAACAAUUUGAUAGGUGUUUUGCAUGAGAAAGAACUAAAGUUUAAAUUAUUAAAUAAAAAGGUAUUCAAAAAAAAUCAGAAAAUGGGACAGAGAAAAACCAUUAACAAC